GCAUCUGGAGUCUUUACAGAGGGAGGGGUUUAGGCUGGGAGCCCUCAUCUCCAGGAGCUGCAUCCAGGAGUGGCUGGGAGCCACCUCUUUAGAUCUCCAUGGGUUGUCCUGGGCACAGACACUCCACACUGAGCAACCUGAGCACUCCUGGCAGAUUAUUACAGUUGGGAGAGCUUUGGGAGGCAGAGUUUGAGCAUGUGGGAGGAGUUGGGCCAGAACCCCAUGAAUUCUCUUCUCUCUGGGACAGGGAAUGAAGACAGCAAAUUCCAUCAGUUUUGCAGAACUGAAGAGAUGGGAUUUCUGAAGAUGAAAAGAUGAGCUCAUUUCCUCAUUUGGGGUCCC
rnacentral:lncRNA from 1 species